rnacentral:rRNA from 1 species
UACGGGAGGCAGCAGUGGGGAAUAUUGCACAAUGGGCGCAAGCCUGAUGCAGCCAUGCCGCGUGUAUGAAGAAGGCCUUCGGGUUGUAAAGUACUUUCAGUCGUGAGGAAGGUGUUAAGGUUAAUAACCUUAGCAAUUGACGUUAGCGACAGAAGAAGCACCGGCUAACUCCGUGCCAGCAGCCGCGGUAAUACGGAGGGUGCGAGCGUUAAUCGGAAUUACUGGGCGUAAAGGGCACGCAGGCGGUUAAUUAAGUUGGAUGUGAAUCCCCGGGCUUAACCUGGGAAUGGCAUUCAAGACUGGUUAGCUAGAGUCUUGUAGAGGGGGUAGAAUUCCAUGUGUAGCGGUGAAAUGCGUAGAGAUGUGGAGGAAUACCGGUGGCGAAGGCGGCCCCUGGACAAAGGCUGACGCUCAUGUGCGAAAGCGUGGGGAGCAAAC